ACAAAAAACCUUCGACCACCGUUCCUCCUUUCUCUCACUUUGUCCCAUGGCCGAACGAAGAAGACGAAUUCGAAUCUCCCGUGGAGCCAUCGCAUCAAUCUCAGGACUAUGAUUUGGAGUUAGGUUUCAUUAUCGCGAACAUGGUAGGGUUGCAGUACUACCCUAGCCGAAUCAAUGGUCGAGAGAGAUUGUGGGACCUGGUUGGUGAACCUUUGAACCGUUACGACGAGAAACGCAAUCAGAGUACUCAACACUCGAUCUGUUCAACUGGGUCACAUCGAGCGUACGGUAGUAGCCGCUCUCUCACCAUUGAUUGACUCUCACAUGAUUGUCGUCGAAGGUAUUUGUACUCCAAUAGGGCUUGCUUGUAUUCUUCAAACUCUUCAAAGAAGUAAAACAUUGUGCCAUCUUUGUCGUGGCUCUCUUACCCAGUCUGGAUCUCUACAGUGCUCUGCCUCCUCAUCCGGGUUCUUCUAAUACGGAUGGUGGAGACACCAAAUCAUCAAAAGGUCUCAGCUUUACUAUCCCUGCUCAUGGCAUAACGAUAAGAAAACCUGAACACAAAAGUCUGUUGUGUUCUCUCAGUUUAGGAAGAUGCUGCUUCUACUAGAAAGACACGCUGAAAGCUGCGGGUCUCACCAUCUUACGCUUGGAUGAGACAAUGACUGUGAAGAAACGGACCCAAUUCAUUGGAGAGUUUGGGAGUCCGGAGUUUACCAGACCUGUGGUGUUGCUUGCGAGCAUCAAGGCCUCUGGUGCUAGCAUAAACCUAACUGCGGCAUCAAGGGUUUACUUUGUUCGUGCCGUGGUGGACAAGAUUCAUAGGAUUGGACAGAAGCAAGACGUUAAAAUGAUAAAGAUGAUUACAAGAAACGAUAUUGAAGAGAGGGUCCUCGAGCUUCAGCAGAAGAAGAAGAAUCUAACGAACAAAGCUUUUAAAAGAAAGCAUACAAAAGACCAAAGAAAGAGAGGUUAACGUUCAACGUGGUUGCUCUUAUGUCUCUAUGAACUCUGAAUUUGUCCAUAGUUUCACCGGUUUGUUCCUUAUCACCUCUCGGUUAGUUUUCUAAUUGAAGUUUAGCUUGUAAAUGCGUUUUCUGGUUUUCAAUUCGAUUUACUUUUGAUCGGUUUAA